UACGGAGGGGGGCUAGCGUUGUUCGGAAUUACUGGGCGUAAAGCGCGUGUAGGCGGAUGAGCAAGUCUGCUGUGAAAGCUCCUGGCUUAACCGGGAGUGGUCGGUGGAAACUGCUCGUCUGGAGGACGGUAGAGGUAGGUAGAAUUCCCGGUGUAGUGGUGAAAUGCGUAGAGAUCGGGAGGAAUACCUGUGGCGAAGGCGGGUCUCUGGGCCGAUACUGACGCUGAGGAGCGAAAGCGUGGGGGAGCGAACAGG
rnacentral:rRNA from 1 species